GAUGAACGCUGGCGGUCUGCUCAACCACAUGCAAGUCGAACGAACUCUUCGGAGUGAGUGGCGGACGGGUGAGUAACGCGUGAGAAUCUGGCUGUGGGUCGGGGACAACCACUGGAACGGUGCUAAUACCGGAUGAGCCGAAGGUAAAGAUUAUGCCCACAGAUGAGCUCGCGUCUGAUUAGCUAGUUGGUAAGGUAAAAGCGUACCAAGGCGACGAUCAGUAGCUGGUCUGAGAGGAUGAGCAGCCACACUGGGACUGAGACACGGCCCAGACUCCUACGGGAGGCAGCAGUGGGGAAUUUUCCGC
rnacentral:rRNA from 1 species